rnacentral:rRNA from 1 species
UCGACGAUGACCUCCUUCGGGAGGGGAUUAGUGGCGAACGGGUGAGUAACACGUGGGCAAUCUGCCCUUCACUCUGGGACAAGCCCUGGAAACGGGGUCUAAUACCGGAUAACACUGCGGAUCGCAUGGUCUGCGGUUGAAAGCUCCGGCGGUGAAGGAUGAGCCCGCGGCCUAUCAGCUUGUUGGUGGGGUGAUGGCCUACCAAGGCGACGACGGGUAGCCGGCCUGAGAGGGCGACCGGCCACACUGGGACUGAGACACGGCCCAGACUCCUACGGGAGGCAGCAGUGGGGAAUAUUGCACAAUGGGCGAAAGCCUGAUGCAGCGACGCCGCGUGAGGGAUGACGGCCUUCGGGUUGUAAACCUCUUUCAGCAGGGAAGAAGCGAAAGUGACGGUACCUGCAGAAGAAGCGCCGGCUAACUACGUGCCAGCAGCCGCGGUAAUACGUAGGGCGCAAGCGUUGUCCGGAAUUAUUGGGCGUAAAGAGCUCGUAGGCGGCUUGUCGCGUCGGAUGUGAAAGCCCGGGGCUUAACCCCGGGUCUGCAUUCGAUACGGGCAGGCUAGAGUGUGGUAGGGGAGAUCGGAAUUCCUGGUGUAGCGGUGAAAUG